rnacentral:rRNA from 1 species
GACGAACGCUGGCGGCGUGCUUAACACAUGCAAGUCGAACGGAAAGGCCCUGCUCUUGUGGGGUGCUCGAGUGGCGAACGGGUGAGUAACACGUGAGUAACCUGCCCUUGACUUUGGGAUAACUUCAGGAAACUGGGGCUAAUACCGGAUAGGAGCUCCUGCUGCAUGGUGGGGGUUGGAAAGUUUCGGCGGUUGGGGAUGGACUGGCGGCUUAUCAGCUUGUUGGUGGGGUAGUGGCUUACCAAGGCUUUGACGGGUAGCCGGCCUGAGAGGGUGACCGGCCACAUUGGGACUGAGAUACGGCCCAGACUCCUACGGGAGGCAGCAGUGGGGAAUAUUGCACAAUGGGCGGAAGCCUGAUGCAGCAACGCCGCGUGCGGGAUGACGGCCUUCGGGUUGUAAACCGCUUUCGCCUGUGACGAAGCGUGAGUGACGGUAAUGGGUAAAGAAGCACCGGCUAACUACGUG